AUGAACGCUGGCGGCGUGCCUAAUACAUGCAAGUCGAGCGAACGGACGAGAAGCUUGCUUCUCUGAUGUUAGCGGCGGACGGGUGAGUAACACGUGGAUAACCUGCCUAUAAGACUGGGAUAACUUCGGGAAACCGUAGCUAAUACCGGAUAAUAUUUUGAACCGCAUGGUUCAAAAGUGAAAGACGGUCUUGCUGUCACUUAUAGAUGGAUCCGCGCUGCAUUAGCUAGUUGGUAAGGUAACGGCUUACCAAGGCAACGAUGCAUAGCCGACCUGAGAGGGUGAUCGGCCACACUGGAACUGAGACACGGUCCAGACUCCUACGGGAGGCAGCAGUAGGGAAUCUUCCGCAAUGGGCGAAAGCCUGACGGAGCAACGCCGCGUGAGUGAUGAAGGUCUUCGGAUCGUAAAACUCUGUUAUUAGGGAAGAACAUAUGUGUAAGUAACUGUGCACAUCUUGACGGUACCUAAUCAGAAAGCCACGGCUAACUACGUG
rnacentral:rRNA from 1 species